UGAAUGUACGAAUCUGAUUUGUCAAGGCCAAUGAUACACUCCCACCGGUACGGCCCGUGUAUGGGAGGAAAGCUUUACUCAAAAUUACAAAGAUCAAUAGAAUGGAAUGACUCUAGUUAAAUUAUGGUUCGACAAAGGGGAAAUAAUCUUAAAUAACCAAUACAUGCACCACAACAUGACGAGAUAUACAUUAAACUAAGCCUAAGGAAAGCCAGCAGCUGAAAUUUUGGAAAAAGCUUUGACUUAUGCUCAGAGGGUGAAAUCCUAUGUUUCAGCUUUCAUGCAUUUAGCGCACUCUGAUUAAUCAAAAGAACAUGGAUAAAUGUUCAAGAGAAGGCCAAGGAACAUCUCGGGCUGUCAUACCAAUGAUGAUGACGAAUCAGAAAGCUUUAUGAAUUGAGCUAGAAAACCAAUUCAAUUGCUUUUAGUUUAACUUUGUUUUAUUGUAUUUAAUCCAAUCUUAUCUUGCAGCUGCAAAAUGGUCUAAAGCUUUUGUUAUUUGUUACAUUACAAAGAUCUGAAAUUAAAAUAGAUAGUGACCA